GGUACCCCUAGAGGCAUUGCAGGUGUGGCUGCUGUGUCACAUGUGUGUCAGUAGGUGGCAGAGAGAAAAGAGGCUAUGUCUAUGCUCAGCGUUCUGACCUGUGAACAUCUGAAUGGUUAGGAGCCUAACAUU
ensembl:snoRNA small nucleolar RNA SNORA17